GGGACACUGGGGUGGCACCGGGGGGUCCCGGGGACACUUUGGGGUCCCCCUGACCCCCCUGUCCCCCCAGCUGGGCUUCUUCAAGCGCUCGGGGCCCUACGGCACCGCCAUGGAGAAGGCGCAGCUGAAACCCCAGGCGGCCUCCGAGGCCUGAGGGGCCGGCGGGGACAGGGACACCCGGCGGGACAGGGACACCCGGCGGGACAUCCCAGAGCUGGGGACAUCCCAGGGCCUGGGGACAUCCCAGAGUUUGGGGACACCCACAGUGAGGGACACUCCAGAACCUCAGGAGAUCCCAGGGCUUGGGGUCACCCCACGACCUGGGGACACUCCAUGGUUUGGGGACACUCCGUGGCCUGGAGAUACCCCACAGCUUGGGGACCCCCUCAAGGACAAUGUCACCUGCGUGGCCGUGUCACCCGCCUCGGUGACAUCCCCCACUCCACAGCCCUGGCCCGGGACACCCACGGUGCCCAUCCCCACACUGGCACGGCCACCACCGCGCUGGGGACACUGUCACAGAACUGUCACCGCACCGGGGACACUGUCACAGAACUGUCACCGGGCUCAGGACAUUGUCACAGAACUGUCACCGCGUUGGGGACACUGUCACCACUCUGGGGACACUGUCCCAAAACUGUCACCGGGCUCAGGACACUGCCACCGCCCUGGGGACACUGUCACAGAACUGUCACCGGGCUCAGGACACUGCCACCGCCCUGGGGACACUGUCCCAAAACUGUCACCGGGCUCAGGACACUGCCACCGCCCUGGGGACACUGUCACAGAACUGUCACUGUGCUGCGGACACUGUCCCAAAACUGUCACCGCCCUGGGGACACUGUCACAGAACUGUCACUGUGCUGGGGACACUGUCCCAAAACUGUCACCGCCCUGGGGACACUGUCCCGGGAACUGUCCCCAGGCUGUCACAGAACUGUCACCAGGCUCAGGACACUGUCACCGCCCUGGGGACGCUGUCACAGAACUGUCACCGCCCUGGGGAACCACCAGGAUGUGUCCUCAAGGCACAGCUGCCACCACCGGGUUGGGGACACCAAACUGGGAACCCCCGGACUGGGAACAACCCGAGAUGUGUCACCAGCGGGAACUGUCACCAUGGGAGCUGUCACCACCGGAAUGGGAAUUGUCACCAGUGGGAAUUGCCACCAUGGGACUGGGAAUUGUCACCGCCAGACCAGGAACUGUCACCUGUGGGAAUUGUCACCAUGGGACUGGGAAUUGUCACCUCCAGACCGGGAAUUGUCACCACGGCACCGGGAGCUGCUGGCACGUGGGGUGACACCGAGCUGGCACCGACACGGACGCGGCAGGGGACACCGGCAGGACACUGAAGGGACACUGCUGGGACACCGGGCCACCGCAGGGGACACCCGUGGGACACCCGUGGGACACCCGUGGGACACCAGGACACGUCCCCAGCGCUGUCACCUCCCCCGGGACAGGACCUGUGGGUGGGAAAACCGCGCCCCACUGGCACCUGGUGGCGGUGUCACAGUGUCACAGUGUCACGGUGUCACGGUGUCACGGUGUCACGGUGUCACGGUGUCACCCUGUCCCAGCGCGACCCGGGGACGCUGCCACCCGCUCCUGCUGCCACCCGCUGCCACCCGCUGUCCCCAAAUGCCACCGCCCUGCACUGCCCCCCCCCACCUCACUUUGCACUGACCCCGAGUUUGGGGGGGCAGCCUCGAUCCCCUGUCCCAGGGUGUCCCAGGGGUGUCCCCAGGGUGUCCCCGGGGUGUCCCCAGGGUGUCCCCGGGGUGUCCCAGGGUGUCUCUGGGUGUCCCCAGGGUGUCCCCGGGUGUCCCCGGGGUGUCCCCGGGUGUCCCCAGGGUGUCCCCGGGGUGUCCCAGGGGGGGGGGGGGUGU
ensembl:lncRNA